rnacentral:misc_RNA from 1 species
UUUCCGUAGGUGAACCUGCGGAAGGAUCAUUAUUGUAUAACCGAGGUGCGAGGGCUGUCGCUGACCCGAAAGGUCGUGCACGCCCGAGUGCCCUCACACACAUCCAUCUCACCCCUAUGUGCACCACCGCGUGGGUCCCCCUUUGGCUUGUUCGGAGGGGGGCUUACGUUUUCACACAAACUUUGUAUGCAGUGUAGAAUGUAUUUUUUGUUUUUGCGAUCACGCAAUCAAUACAACUUUCAACAACGGACCUCUUGGCUCUCGCAUCGAUGAAGAGCGCAGC